UUUAGCAUUAAACAAAAUCAUUUUCUCUCCCUUCCUCCCCUCUCAUUUUCGUCCAUCUCUCUCUCCCUCUCUACUCUCACUAUUUUCUUUUCAAUCCAUCAUGGAAGAACACUCCAAAGCUUCUAAACACAUAGAUCCACCAUCACCAUUCCUAGAGCUAGCCUUCAAUCACCAAGAAUCAAGAGAAUGAUCAAGCUAGAGUUUCCAAACCAAAGUGUAUCAAAGAGUUCGCCAUUUUCUUAAAUAUUGAGGGUUCGGGCGACAGGAAGUGAAGCCGAAGAAGAAGCGACUCCACGCUAGCUUAAGAACGUUUGAGGUUGAGCAGCUGAUGGAAUGGAAUGGUGUUGAGCGGGUGUUCCUUUUUCAUUUCAAGAAAUGAAACCUUGAGUAUGCAUCUCCAUAUGCAUAACUCACACGUUUUCCGCUACAAACACUCUGACUUAUUUAUCGUUUCUACUUGAACUUAUUACUACUUCAUUUUGACUAACUUUCAUUUGGGGUCUAGUCGUUAUGGCAGGCUCGUUUGUAAAUUACC